GACGAACGCUGGCGGCGUGCCUAAUACAUGCAAGUCGAACGGUGAAGAGAGGAUCUUGCUCUUCUCGGGAGAGUUGCACACGGGUGAGUAACGUGUAGGUACCCUGCCUUGUAGCGGGGGAUCACCAUUGGACAGGAUAGCUAAUACCGCAUAACCAUGGAUGACACAUGUCAGUUAUUUGAAGGGGGCAAUUGCUGCAUUACAAGAUGGACCUGCGUUGUAUUAGCGAGUAGGUGAGGUAAUGGCUCAUCUAGGCGACGUUACAUAGACGACCUGAGAGGGUGGGCGGCCACGCUGGGACGGUGACACGGCCAAGAGGACUAGGGGAGAGACCAGGAGGGAAUCUUCAGGCAUGGGGGCAACGCUGACCGAGCAACGCGGCGUGAGUGAAGAAGAAUUUCGGGUCGUAGAGGUCUGUUGUAAGGUAAGAAAGGGUGUGAGAGUGGAACGUUCAGACAGUGACGGUAGCGGAACAAAAAGCAACGGCUAACUACGUG
rnacentral:rRNA from 1 species